ACUCAUACUUCAAAUUUCCGUGACAGUCAUAAGCGCCAACACAGUAGGUGUAAGGAUGAAAGUUCGAUAGAACUAAAGGAACUUUAUGAAUCUGAACCAAUGAUGAAAGAAGCUAUGCAGAAUAAGAAAAAAAGAUAUCCGAAGACUAGUGUUACCUCUAUACUCACGGAUAUAUCAGAAUUAG